GGUGGAGGAACCAAACUCAUCAUUCACUCUGGCCCCAUGGUCAGACCCUCAGUCUCUCUGCUUCAACCCUCCUCUGAGAAGCUCUCUGGAAGCCCAGUCACACUGGCCUGCCUGCUGACCGGCUACUCUCCUCAGGGAGCUGAAGUGAGAUGGGAAGUAGAUGGCACAGAGGUGACAGAGGGGGUCCUGAACAGCUUAGAAGAAGAGAAGAGUAGUCGCUACAGCAGCAGCAGCACCCUGAUGCUGAGCCAAGAGAACUGGAUGAACGCAGAGGUGUUCUCCUGCAGGGUGAACCAUCAUGACUACUGGCAGUCCAAGUCCUUCCGCAAGAACCGGUGUGAGGGCUAGAGGGGCUGCUGAAGUCCAGGACAGGAGCUUAGUGUGGGGGAGCAGGAGAUACAUCCCUGCUGCUCUGAUCAAUAUGAGUUUGAAAGUUUGCAGAUGAAGUUAUUUGAUAACAGUAACUUACACAGUGACAUGUGUAGCAGCUGGAUGUGAGUGUGCCUAAUAACUGCCAUAUUAAUGAUUCAUUCUUUUUCCAAUAAAGCUUGCAGUGAUCCAUA